rnacentral:rRNA from 1 species
GUACGGGAGGCAGCAGUGGGGAAUUUUCCGCAAUGGGCGAAAGCCUGACGGAGUGACGCCGCGUGGGGGACGAAGGCCUUCGGGUUGUAAACCCCUGUCAGAGGGAAAGAAGGCGGGGCGCGUGAAUAGCGCGUUCCGUUGACGGUACCUUCAGAGGAAGCCCCGGCCAACUCUGUGCCAGCAGCCGCGGUAAGACAGAGGGGGCAAGCGUUGCUCGGAAUCACUGGGCGUAAAGGGCGCGUAGGCGGGAUGGCAAGUCAGUCGUGAAAUCCCUGGGCUCAACUCAGGGGGGUCGGCUGAUACUGCCGUUCUUGAGGGAUGCAGAGGAGACUGGAAUUCCCGGUGUAGCGGUGAAAUGUGUAGAGAUCGGGAGGAACACCGGUGGCGAAGGCGGGUCUCUGGGCAUUCCCUGACGCUGAGGCGCGAAAGCGUGGGGAGCAAACGGGAUUAGAUACCCCGGU